rnacentral:rRNA from 2 species
AAUUCGAAGCAACGCGAAGAACCUUACCAGGACUUGACAUCCCUCUGACCGGCGCUUAACCGUGCCUUCCCUUCGGGGCAGAGGUGACAGGUGGUGCAGUGGUUGUCGUCAGCUCGUGUCGUGAGAUGUUGGGUUAAGUCCCGCAACGAGCGCAACCCUUGUCAUUAGUUGCCAGCAGUUCGGCUGGGCACUCUAGUGAGACUGCCGGGGAUAACUCGGAGGAAGGUGGGGAUGACGUCAAAUCAUCAUGCCCCUUAUGUUCUGGGCUACACACGUGCUACAAUGGCUGGUACAAAGAGACGCAAGACUGUGACGUGGAGCAAAUCUCAAAAACCAGUCCCAGUUCGGAUUGUAGGCUGCAACUCGCCUACAUGAAGUUGGAGUUGCUAGUAAUCGCGAAUCAGAAUGUCGCGGUGAAUGCGUUCCCGGGCCUU